AUUUGUUCCUUAAAAAAAUGGUGGCGCCGGGGGGUAACCCUCGAACGCGAUCCGGGUGAAUUGCGGGAAACCUAAACGCUUGGUGUCGAGAGCAGUUUCGCACCAGGAGCAUGGCAAUCCGCAGCCUAGCCUGGCCGGGCAACCGGUGGCCAGGACGGUUCAGAGACUAGCGGGGUGAGUCCCAACAAUAACCCCCGCCGACGAGCGCCCGGCCUCCUCGUUCCUUUUUUUCCGAAAAGGUCGAGGAGGGUGAGAUAGUCCAAGCCUCGUGGAAACGCGAGG
rnacentral:ncRNA from 1 species